AAACAGCUUGGGCUUCAAAAUGAGUCUUUUGACAAAUUUUUUUUCUAUCAUUCUCAAGCUGUUAUGACUAAAUUUCCAUCCCAGAGAAAGAAAGCAUUCCAGAUCUUUCUUGAAGAUCUGCAUUGGAGCUCUUAUGAAAUAUCACUCCCUCCUGUUUUGUUUUCUUCUCUUGGCACUCCUUGAAUAGCUAUUGCUGGACAAAAGAUGAACAUUAUUUAAAAAUUUAUGUAUUAUUUCUCAUUAGAGUCAGAAUAUCCCCGUAGCUGCUGGCACUUGAGCUGAAUUCGGAGCAACAGAUGAGGAAUUUGUAACCAAGCAAACCUCCCUAGCAACAGGACCUCAUAGACCCUUUCCUCCUGACCUCAGGGACUUGCAAGAUCCUGCAGGACUCAGAGCCAGAUUGAAGAAGAGACUUCUGACUGGAUUCAUUUCCCAGGACUUCUAAAACAACCACAAACCAGAUGACCUAAAACGAAUGUAUGAAAUGUAUUGUCUCAGAGACUUGCAGGCUAGGAGUCCAAAAUCAACGUGUGGGCAGCGGGUGCUCACCCUGAAACCUGUUGGUCACCUUGUAAGGACACUGUAAGGACAUGUAAAAUUGGAGCCCACUCUACUCCGAAAUGACCUCUUCUCAAUUUAAUGGCAUCAUCAGUAACUCUGUCUGAGCACAACUCUACAUUCAGAGGCAACGGGUUUGAGCUUUACAUGUCUUUUGGGAAGGUGGGAAGAGGAGGAAGGGGUGAAAAAGUAACCCAUAACAUGCCAAGGACACUUUUAACUAGCACGUGCUAUAUUCAGAGUUCAGGCAGGUUUGUGUGUUUUGUGAAUCUUUCUGUAGAGUAAAGGUUUGUGUUACUCCCUACCCAUGUGUUACUGAUUAAAUAGAAAGUGAAAAGUGAGGAGGAGAGGGCACAUCCACUCCUUAUAAUAUUUAGCAGCCACUCUCAAAACCCAGGGACACACAACUGUAGAAUGAAUGCUUCAGCCCCAUCACCUCCAUAAUAUUUCUGGUUGGCAUGGUUAUUGCUCAGUGGGGAAAAGUGGCAGAACAUGAAAA